UAAUCUAUGGGUCUCUAUGGGGUGUCUAUGGGUCUCUAUGGGUCUCUAUGUGUCUCUAAUGGGUCCAGUACCCACCAUUUCCACCUCUAGCUGUCUCUCUCAGUGCACAGUUGUCCCAUAAUCGUCCUUCCAGGGGUCUAUGUGUGUCUAUGGGGUGUCUAUAGGGCUCUAUGGGGUCUAUGGGUGUCUAUAGGGCUCUAUGGGGUCUAUGUGUAUCUAUGGGGUAUCUAUGGGUCUCUAUGUGUCUCUAUGGGUCCAUACCCACCCUUAGCUGUCUCCUCAGUGCACAGUUGAUCCCAUAAUCGUCCUUCCAGGGGUCUAUGUGUGUCUAUGGGGUGUCUAUAGGGCUCUAUGGGUCUCUAUGGGUCUCUAUAGGUCUCUAUGGGGUCUAUGGGUCUCUAUGGGGUGUCUAUAGGUCUCUAUGGGGUCCAUACCCACCCUUAGCUGUCUCCUCAAUGCACAGUUGAUCCCAUAAUUGUCCUUCCAGGGGUCUAUGUGUGUCUAUGGGGCUGAGUGGUGUCUAUAGGGCUCUAUGGGGUCUAUGGGUCCCUAUGUGUCUCUAUGGGUCUCUAUGGGUCCAUACCCACCCUUAGCCUCCUCCUGAGCACACAGUUGAUGCCAUAAUCGUCCUUCCAGGGGUCUAUGUGUAUCUAUGGGUCUCUAUGGGGUGUCUAUGGGUCUCUAUGGGUCUCUAUGGGUCUCUAUGUGUCUCUAUGGGGCUGAGUGGUGUCUAUGGGUCUCUAUGGGUCUCUAUGUGUCUCUAUGGGUCCAUACCCACCCUGAGCCGUGCCCUGAGCACACAGUUGAUGCCAUAAUCGUCCUUCCAGGCCCUUUGUGCCUCCUGCAGGCUGGUCAGUGUUGGCACGUUGCGCCGCAGCAGCUGCAGGUCACACAGCCCGUGAUCCAGCCGGAACAUGGCGUCCGUGUGGAGACGGGAGUGGGACGAGGGGUCUAUGGGGGGGAAAUGGGGGUCAGGGACAUGACAGGACCCAUACAACCCUAUGGGACACAAUGGGACCCAAUGGGACCUGCCAGGACCUGAAGGACCCUAUGGGACACAAUGGGACCCAAUGGGACCUGAAGGACCCUAUAGGACACAAUGGGACCCAAUGGGACCUGAAGGACCCUAUAGGGACCCAAUGGGACCUGAAGGACCCUACAGGACACAAUGGGACCCAAUGGGACCUGCCAGGACCUGAAGGACCCUAUGGGACACAAUGGGACCCAAUGGGACCUGAAGGACCCUAUGGGACACAAUGGGACCCAAUGGGACCUGAAGGACCCUAUGGGACACAAUGGGACCUUUGUAACCCAAUGGGACCCAAUGGAACCUGACAGGACCUGAAGGACCCUAUAGGGACACAAUGGGACCCAAUGGGACCUGUAGGACCCUAUAGGACACAAUGGGACCCAAUGGGACCUGUAGGACCCUAUAGGGACACAAUGGGACCUGAAGGACCCUAUAGGGACACAAUGGGACCCAAUGGGACCUGACAGGACCUUUGUAACCCAAUGGGACCCAAUGGGACCUGUAGGACCCUAUAGGGACACAAUGGGACCCAAUGGGACCUGCCAGGACCUGUAUAAUCCUAUAGGGACACAAUGGGACCCAAUGGGACCUGUAUAACCCUAUAGGGACACAAUGGGACCCAAUGGGACCUGAAGGACCCUAUAGGGACACAAUGGGACCCAAUGGGACCUGUAUAACCCUAUAGGGACACAAUGGGACCUGCCAGGACCUUUAGAACCUAAUGGGACCCAAUGGGACCUGCCAGGACCCCCAUGGCCCCAUAGGGGUCCCAGUUGUGGGGCAGGACCCACCAGUGUGGGGCAGGACCCACCCCAGCCCCCUAUCACCCCAUAGGGCUCCCAGCUGUGGGGCAGGACCCACCCCAGCCCCCUAUCGCCCCAUAGGGGUCCCAGUUGUGGGGCAGGACCCACCGGUGUGGGGCAGGACCCACCCCAGCCC
rnacentral:lncRNA from 1 species